rnacentral:rRNA from 1 species
GUCUAUGGCCAUACCACCCUGAACGCGCCUGAUCUUGUCUGAUCUCAGAAGCUAAGCAGGAUUGGGCCUGGUUAGUACUUGAAUGGGAGAGGAGUACACUUUCAAUAGACU